CGGAUUGCAGUCUGCAACUCGACUGCAUGAAGCUGGAAUCGCUAGUAAUCGCGAAUCAGCAUGUCGCGGUGAAUACGUUCCCGGGUCUUGUACACACCGCCCGUCACACCAUGGGAGUCGGAAAUGCCCGAAGCCAGUGACCCAACCUUUAAGGAGGGAGCUGUCGAAGGCAGGUCUGGUAACUGGGGUGAAGUCGUAACAAGGUAUC
rnacentral:rRNA from 1 species